rnacentral:rRNA from 1 species
GGACGAACGCUGGCGGCGUGCUUAACACAUGCAAGUCGAGCGAUGAAGCACCUUCGGGUGUGAAUUAGCGGCGAACGGGUGAGGAACACGUGAGAAAUCUGCCUUCAACACUGGGAUAACUCCGGGAAACCGGGGCUAAUACCGGAUAUGAAACCUGCGGGCAUCCGCGGGUUUGGAAAGUUUUUCGGUUGAAGAUGAUCUCGCGGCCUAUCAGCUUGUUGGUGAGGUAAUGGCUCACCAAGGCGACGACGGGUAGCCGGCCUGAGAGGGCGACCGGCCACACUGGGACUGAGACACGGCCCAGACUCCUACGGGAGGCAGCAGUGGGGAAUAUUGGGCAAUGGAGGAAACUCUGACCCAGCGACGCCGCGUGAGGGAUGAAGGCCUUCGGGUUGUAAACCUCUUUCAGCAGGGAAGAAGCGAAAGUGACGGUACCUACAGAAGAAGCACCGGCUAACUAUGUG